AACAAACGCUGGCGGCGUGCCUAAUACAUGCAAGUCAAACGAGGAAAGCUUUCGGGUGAGUACUAGUGGCGCACGGGUGAGGAAUAUAUGGGUAAUCUGCCCUCGAGUUGGGGAUAACCAGUCGAAAGACUGGCUAAUACCGAAUAAGACCACAGGAUCUGCGGAUCUGGGGGUUAAAGGUUUUUCGCUUGAGGAUGAGCCCAUACGGGAUUAGCUAGUUGGCGAGGUAAUGGCUCACCAAGGCUACGAUCCCUAACUGGUCUUAGAGGAUGAUCAGUCACACUGGAACUGAGAGACGGUCCAGACGCCUACGGGAGGCAGCAGUAGGGAAUAUUGCACAAUGGGGGAAACCCUGAUGCAGCGACGCCGCGUGAGUGAUGAAGGCCUUCGGGUCGUAAAGCUCUGUCGUAUGGGACUAACACAAUGAAGGUACCAUGCAAGAAAGGAUCGGCUAACUUCGUGCCAGCCGCCGCGGUAA
rnacentral:rRNA from 1 species